rnacentral:rRNA from 1 species
GGUAAAGGCCUACCAAGACAAUGAUGCAUAGCCGAGUUGAGAGACUGAUCGGCCACAUUGGGACUGAGACACGGCCCAAAUUCCUACGGGAGGCUGCAGUAGGGAAUCUUCCACAAUGGGCGAAAGCCUGAUGGAGCAACGCCGCGUGUGUGAUGAAGGCUUUCGGGUCGUAAAGCACUGUUGUAUGGGAAGAAAAGUUAAGGUAGGGAAUGACCUUAGCCUGACGGUACCAUACCAGAAAGGGACGGCUAAAUACGUGCCAGCAGCCGCGGUAAUACGUAUGUCCCGAGCGUUAUCCGGAUUUAUUGGGCGUAAAGCGAGCGCAGACGGUUGGUUAAGUCUGAUGUGAAAGCCCGGAGCUCAACUCCGGAAAGGCAUUGGAAACUGGUUAACUUGAGUGCAGUAGAGGUAAGUGGAACUCCAUGUGUAGCGGUGGAAUGCGUAGAUAUAUGGAAGAACACCAGCGGCGAAGGCGGCUUACUGGACUGUAACUGACGUUGAGGCUCGAAAGUGUGGGUAGCAAACAGGAUUAGAUACCCUGGUAGUCCACACCGUAAACGAUGAACACUAGGUGUUAGGAGGUUUCCGCCUCUUAGUGCCGAAGCUAACGCAUUAAGUGUUCCGCCUGGGGAGUACGACCGCAAGGUUGAAACUCAAAGGAAUUGACGGGGACCCGCACAAGCGGUGGAGCAUGUGGUUUAAUUCGAAGCAACGCGAAGAACCUUACCAGGUCUUGACAUCCUUUGAAGCUUUUAGAAAUAGAAGUGUUCUCUUCGGAGACAAAGUGACAGGUGGUGCAUGGUCGUCGUCAGCUCGUGUCGUGAGAUGUUGGGUUAAGUCCCGCAACGAGCGCAACCCUUAUUGUUAGUUGCCAGCAUUCAGAUGGGCACUCUAGCGAGACUGCCGGUGACAAACCGGAGGAAGGCGGGGACGACGUCAGAUCAUCAUGCCCCUUAUGACCUGGGCUACACACGUGCUACAAUGGCGUAUACAACGAGUUGCCAACCUGCGAAGGUGAGCUAAUCUCUUAAAGUACGUCUCAGUUCGGACUGCAGUCUGCAACUCGACUGCACGAAGUCGGAAUCGCUAGUAAUCGCGGAUCAGCACGCCGCGGUGAAUACGUUCCCGGGUCUUGUACACACCGCCCGUCACACCAUGGAAGUUUGUAAUGCCCAAAGCCGGUGGCCUAACCGUAAGGAGGAAC